rnacentral:misc_RNA from 1 species
UCUCCGUUGGUGAACCAGCGGAGGGAUCAUUACCGAGUUUACAACUCCCAAACCCCAUGUGAACCAUACCACACGUUGCUUCGGCGGGAAGCCCCGGACGCGGGCGGCAAGGCCUGGGCUCCGAAACCAGGGGACCGCCGGAGGCCCAAAUCAAAAUCUUGUUUUUGUAAAAUCUUAUGAGUGGCCUUUUAGGCUAAAAAUGAAUAAAAAAUUUCAACAAAGGAGCACUUGGUUCUGGUAACGAUGAAGAACGCAGCAGAUCGGAAGAGCCCGAGUUCG